rnacentral:rRNA from 1 species
CGCCUACGGGGGGCAGCAGUGGGGGAUAUUGCACAAUGGGGGGAACCCUGAUGCAGCGACGCCGCGUGGGUGAAGGAGCGUUUCGGCGCGUAAAGCCCUAUCGGCAGGGAAGAAGAUGACGGUACCUGACCAAGAAGCCCCGGCUAACUACGUGCCAGCAGCCGCGGUAAUACGGAGGGGGCAAGCGUUAUCCGGAUUUACUGGGUGUAAAGGGGGGGCAGACGGCAAUGCAAGCCAGGAGUGGAAGCCCGGGGCCCAACCCCGGGACUGAUCUUGGAGCUGCAUGGCUGGAGUACGGGAGGGGG